GUUAGAUUAAUACAUGUAGAUUAUAUUAAACUUUGGCGAUUUUACAUCUUGAACACUGUCAAUCAUAAGGGUUAUAUCUGAAAAAUUAUUCUUUCAUUAUAUGUGUAAAUUUGUUUUGCUGUAAAAAAAAAAUGUUCUCUUUGCUUAUGUUUUUACAGAAAGACCAAACCAGCGAACAAGAGGAUGAUUACGAUGACAUAGUAGAAUCGGGCAUUUCUCGGAGAUACUGAUUUGAUUUAAUAAUUAACAAUCAUGUACCGGUACACCAUUUGAUGAUUUUAAUUUAACUUUAAUUGAAUAAAAUAUAGAAAGUAGACUUAAUUUGAAUACCAGGUAAUUAAUUAAUUCGAAGAGACCUUGUAAAAUAAAACAAAAAUUCUUUAUUUUGAUGUGUAAUUUGAUUGUGUUGAAUCCAAAUUUAACACUUUUCAUUUUAUUUUGGUAUAUUUGCUUACAUGUAAUUUAGCCUAAUGAGUCUUGGAAUGAGAUUUGCCCAUUCAUAAGCAUUUACAACAGGGUUUUUUUUUUUUUUUUUUUUCAUAUUCAUUUUUAUUCUGCAUUUUAUUUCAAAGUAUAUGAAUUUUCGUUCAAUUAAUUUAUGCCAGUUUUAAAUCUGGCUAUAUGUUGUGAAUGAACUAUGACAUCUUGCUUUCAUGGCUUGCCGAAGCAGAGAAAAAGCUUCAGUUGUUAAGUCAGUGUUUAAAGGUAUAUUUUUCUACAAAAAAAUUGGUGUCUUCCACUGUUUCUUCCAGUUUUGGGGAAAAUUUACCAUUGUUGAAUAUAUUUUUACCAUCUGUAAGUAUGUGUAUCAUGCAAAAAUAAAAUACACACAAAA
rnacentral:misc_RNA from 1 species